ACUUUUGGUCACUUUAGCAAAGGUUAAAGGUCAAGCAAAGACGGCUACCGUGGCAAGAUUGACUGAAAAUGAGAGGGACUUUUAGGUAUGUUGAUGCCCAUAAACCUGAAGGAUGAGGAAGAUAGAAAAGAUUACAUUGCAGUCAUAGUCAAGGAGUUUUGUCGCUUUGAGUUUAAGGAAGUUGUUCAAAGCAAUGCAAGUUACGGAGAUGGAAUGAAUUUCAUUGUAGAUGAAUAGUCGU
rnacentral:lncRNA from 1 species